UACGUAGGGUGCAAGCGUUAAUCGGAAUUACUGGGCGUAAAGCGUGCGCAGGCGGUUUUGUAAGUCUGUCGUGAAAUCCCCGGGCUCAACCUGGGAAUUGCGAUGGAGACUGCAAGGCUAGAAUCUGGCAGAGGAAGGUGGAAUUCCACGUGUAGCGGUGAAAUGCGUAGAGAUGUGGAGGAACACCAAUGGCGAAAGGCAGCCUUC
rnacentral:rRNA from 1 species